CCAUUUCCCCGAACCAUCGCUUGGAUGAUGAAGCACAUCGCAGAGUACUGCUUCAUCACCAUUCAGGAAUUGUACCCUUUUAAAUUUCUAUAUGGGUAUGCGCUGCUUUUGACACAGCUUUUGUUGUAAGCAGGCACUAAAAUAGAAGCUUAUAAUUAGCUAUCUGGGGAGGCAAGUGUGUGGUAGAACAGAGCUCAGCAAGAGAAAAGUCAAGGCAGGUCCUGGGGAAACACUGCAUGGAAGAUGAGUAAUACAGAGCCCAAGAGUGGAUUGGCAGGAAGGGUGCAGGACCUAACCCAAUGACAAUGCUCGCAGGAGGAGCCCUCCAGAAGGCAACAGCUCCAAACCUCUUGGUACAAAGGAACUCUCUACGUUUAGUUCUCUCGACAACUACCUACUAUAAGAUGAAGUUUCCAGGAACUCAUGUGAUCAUGAGACUCUGCAGUCACUUCAGGGGGUCUUGUUGACUGGCUCGGGGGGCUGGUGUCAAGCCCAAGCAGAAGAGCCCUCAGAGCAAGCAGCCCUGCUUCUGUGGAUGCUGGAUGGCAUCAUCACCAGGCGGGUCCUUCAGAGUACUGGGAGCAGCAUGCAGCCCGAUAGAGUUGGCAAACGUGAAUCUACUAGAAGAUUGACAUGGAGAUCGAGUAGGUAUUCUUUUUAUUAAUAUUCCGUCAUCAAACUGUCUUUACAAAUAUCUACCUUCAUUUUGGCUCUUCCCUAGGUGGUAACUAAUACAUCUGACUAGUAAAUCAUGUCUAAUAUAUAGGACUUCAUAAUGUGUUACAUAGCGCUUGAUGCUCAAAUGCAAACGUCCUGUUUUUUUGGGUUUUUUGUUGUUGUUGUUGUUGUUGUUGUUGUUGUUUUUAAGAGACAGUGUCUUCACUCUGUCACCCAGGCUAAGCUGGAAUGCAGGGGGCCAACCAUAGCUCACUGUACCCUUGAAUGCCUGGGCUCAAGUGAUCCUCCCACCUCAGCCUCCCAAGUAGAUGGGAUUACAGGCACUAGCCACUGCGCCCAGCUGUAUUAGUCUAUUUUCACACUGCUGAUAAAGACAUACCAGAGACUGGGCAAUUUACAAAAGAAAGAGGUUUAUUGGACUUACAGUUCCACCUGGCUGGGGAGGCCUCAUAAUCAUGGAGGAAGGCAAGGAGGAGCAAGUCAUAUCUUACAUGGAUGGCAGCAGGCAAAGAGAGAGAACUUGUGCAGGGGAGCUCCUCUUUAUAAAACUAUCAGAUCUCAUGAGACUUAUUCACUAUCACAAGAACAGCACAGGAAAGGCUUGUCCCCAUGAUUCAAUUAUCUCCCACUUGGUCCCCCCACAACACAUGGGAAUUCAAGAUGAGAUUUGGGUGGGGACACAGCCAAACCAUAUAACCAGCUGAUGCUCAAAUGUUUUUAUUACAUAAGUAAUACAUUUUAGCUCUUUCUGUGAUGAACCAAUUGUAUAUCCUUAUUUUAAACACUGUCUAGUUUGUAAAUGUUUUGUUUUAGGCAUUAUGCCAGAGAAAUUGUUCCCUGAAAUGAAAAUGUUUUAUUUGUAGAAGCGUAUCACAGUCUCUUCAUCAGAAUCUGAUACUUUUAUUUAUGCACAAAUCCAAGCAGGUUAGAAUUUGAAUAAGAAUAGGGAGAGCAUUUUUGAAACAGGUACACUGACUUGGGCAAGAGGUGAGAAAAAGUGAAGGAGAGAGAAAAAUCUAUAUCAAAAGUAGGCAUACCAAAAGAAACAGCUGAAAGUUGAAAACAUUUCUCAGAAGAGAAGGAAAUCUCCCCAUAUUGCCCCCCUCCAUUUCUAUUCCACAGGAGUGAAAGGGUGACAUUUUUGGAUCAAACUUUGUAGAAGCAUGGCAGCCAGCCUCUAGGAGGGCCCCUAAGAUGACUCUUGUCUGGUGGCCUUCAUGCUCUUGUGUAGACCCCUCCCAGUAGAAAUAGGCCUGACCUGUGUAACUGAUAGGAUAUUGUGGAAAUGAUGAAGUGUGACUUCCAAGGCUAGUUAAUAAAAGACAUUGCAGUUUCUGCCUUUGGAUCUGUCUUGGAUCAUUUGAUCUGAGGGAAGCCAGUUGGCAUGUCAUGAAGACAUACAAGCAACCCCAUGAAGAGGCCCACGUGGUGAGGAACUGAGGCCUCCUGCCAACAUCCAGCAGCAACUUACCAACAGUGAGAGUGAACCACUUAGGAACCGGAUCCUUCAGUUCCAGUCAAGCCUUCAGAUGUCUGCAACCCUGGACAACAUCUUGACUGCAACUUCAUGAAAGACCCUGAGGGAGCCCCAAACCACCUAAGAUUGCCCCAAAUUCUUGACCCACAAACUAUGAGAUAACAAAUAUUCAUCAUUGGCUGGGCAUGGUGGCUUAUACCUGCAAUCCCAGCACUUUGGGAGGCCAAGGUGGGUGAAUCACUUGAGGCCAGGAGUUCGAAACCAGCCUGGCCAAUGUGGUAAAACCCUUUCUCUACAAAAAAUAC
ensembl:lncRNA LINC01588 long intergenic non-protein coding RNA 1588